UACGUAGGGUGCAAGCGUUGUCCGGAAUUAUUGGGCGUAAAGAGCUCGUAGGCGGUUUGUCGCGUCUGGUGUGAAAAUCCAGGGCUUAACCCUGGACCUGCAUCGGGUACGGGCAGACUAGAGUGCGGUAGGGGAGAUCGGAAUUCCUGGUGUAGCGGUGAAAUGCGCAGAUAUCAGGAGGAACACCAAUGGCGAAGGCAGCUCGCUGGGACGGUACUGACGCUGAGACGCGAAAGCGUGGGGAGCAAACAGG
rnacentral:rRNA from 1 species